CUACGUGCCAGCAGCCGCGGUAAUACGUAGGGCGCGAGCGUUAUCCGGAUUUAUUGGGCGUAAAGCGCUUGUAGGCGGUUAGAUACGUCUGCUGUUAAAGGCCGGGGCUUAACCCCGUGGUUCGCAGUGGGUACGGGCUGACUUGAGUGCAGAAGGGGAGACUGGAAUUCCAUGUGUAGCGGUGGAAUGCGCAGAUAUCAGGAGGAACACCGGUGGCGAAGGCAGGUCUCUGGGCUGUAACUGACGCUGAGGCGCGAAAGCGUGGGGAGCGAACAGGAUUAGAUACCCUGGUAGUCCAUGCCGUAAACGUUGGGUACUAGGUGUAGGGGAUAUCCCACGCUUCUCGUGCCGGAGUUAACGCAAUAAGUACCCCGCCUGGGGAGUACGGCCGCAAGGCUAAAACUCAAAGAAAUUGACGGGGGCCCGCACAAGCGGCGGAGUAUGCGGAUUAAUUCGAUGCAACGCGAAGAACCUUACCAAGGCUUGACAUUGA
rnacentral:rRNA from 1 species